rnacentral:misc_RNA from 1 species
AGUCCAUUAAGCCCUGUUGCUUAGCGUUGGGAGCCCGCUGGCGAGAGCCUGCAGCUCCUCAAAAUUAGUGGCGGAGUUAGCGUAUACUCUAGGCGUAGUAAUUUCAACUCGCUUCUGUGGUUGCGCUGGCGCCUGCCGUAAAACACCCAAUUUUUAAAU